AUGCUCACAUUGGCAACACAUAAUCUAAAAUUGGAACAGUACAAAGAAGAUGCCCCUGCACAAGCAUGACGCUAACAUUUGUGAAG
rnacentral:snRNA from 1 species